GUUUUUAUAGUUUAUUUUCUAAAACAUUGGUCUUGUAAACCAAAAUAAAAUUUUAUUUUUAAAAACU
rnacentral:tRNA from 1 species